GGAAACUCAAACACCUCAAAUCAUAUCCAAGGAGAAAGGUUUAGUCCUUGGGAAAGCUUCUCGUGCUUCAAUCCUCAAAAAGCCGAAGACUGAACCUGAUGAACCACAUACUGUUGAUAUGCCACAGCUUGAGGUUCCUCUUGCUGUUAUUCACCCUGAGCCAUCAAAUGACAAAGGUUCUUCAAAUGGUAAUGCCUCAAGAAAGCAGCCAGACACUUCUGAAACCUCAGCAGCAGAGCUGAGAGGCGGAAGAGAAGCAGAUAAGGACAUUCCAACUUUUUCAAAUGGACUGGUAACAAGUCAUGAACUAGUAAAGCCGCAGAAUCAGUG
rnacentral:misc_RNA from 1 species